rnacentral:rRNA from 1 species
CCUACGGGAGGCAGCAGUAGGGAAUCUUCCACAAUGGACGAAAGUCUGAUGGAGCAACGCCGCGUGAGUGAAGAAGGGUUUCGGCUCGUAAAGCUCUUUUGGUAGUGAAGAAAGAUAGAGGUAGUAACUGGCCUUUAUUUGACGGUAAUUACUUAGAAAGUCACGGCUAACUACGUGCCAGCAGCCGAGGUAAUACGUAGGUGGCAAGCGUUGUCCGGAUUUAUUGGGCGGAAAGCGAGUGCAGGCGGUUCAAUAAGUCUGAUGUGAAAGCCGUCGGCUCAACCGGAGAAUUGCAUCAGAAACUGUUGGACUUGAGUGCAGAAGAGGAGAGUGGAACUCCAUGUGUAGCGGUGGAAUGCGUAGAUAUAUGGCAGAACACCAGUGGCGAAGGCGGCUCUCUGGUCUGCAACUGACGCUGAGGCUCGAAAGCAUGGGUAGCGAACAGGAUUAGAUACCCUUGUAGUC